UGAGUGAUGAAGGCCCUUAGGGGUCGUAAANCUCUUUCGCCAGAAGANGAUAAUNACAGUAUUUGGUAAAGAAACCCCGGCUAANUCCGUGCCAGCAGCCGCGGUAAUACGGAGGGGGUUAGCGUUGUUCGGAAUUACUGGGCGUAAAGCGCGCGUAGGCGGAUUAGUAAGUUAGAGGUGAAAUCCCGGGGCUCAACCCCGGAACUGCCUUUAAUACUGCUAGUCUUGAGUUCGAGAGAGGUGAGUGGAAUUCCGAGUGUAGAGGUGAAAUUCGUAGAUAUUCGGAGGAACACCAGUGGCGAAGGCGGCUCACUGGCUCGAUACUGACGCUGAGGUGCGAAAGUGUGGGGAGCAAACAGGAUUAGAUACCCUGGUAGUCCACACCGUAAACGAUGAAUGCCAGUCGUCGGGUAGCAUGCUAUUCGGUGACACACCUAACGGAUAAAGCAUCCGC
rnacentral:rRNA from 1 species